UACGAAGGGGGCUAGCGUUGCUCGGAAUCACUGGGCGUAAAGCGCACGUAGGCGGCUUGUUAAGUCAGGGGUGAAAUCCUGGAGCUCAACUCCAGAACUGCCUUUGAUACUGGCGAGCUUGAGUUCGGGAGAGGUGAGUGGAACUGCGAGUGUAGAGGUGAAAUUCGUAGAUAUUCGCAAGAACACCAGUGGCGAAGGCGGCUCACUGGCCCGGUACUGACGCUGAGGCACGAAAGCGUGGGGAGCAAACAGG
rnacentral:rRNA from 1 species